AGCGAACGCUGGCGGCAGGCUUAACACAUGCAAGUCGAGCGGGCACUUUCGGGUGUCAGCGGCGGACGGGUGAGUAACGCGUGGGAACGUGCCCUCUGGUUCGGAAUAACUCAGGGAAACUUGAGCUAAUACCGGAUACGCCCUUUUGGGGAAAGGCUUGCUGCCGGAGGAUCGGCCCGCGUCUGAUUAGCUAGUUGGUGAGGUAACGGCUCACCAAGGCGACGAUCAGUAGCUGGUCUGAGAGGAUGAUCAGCCACACUGGGACUGAGACACGGCCCAGGCUCCUACGGGAGGCAGCAGUGGGGAAUAUUGGACAAUGGGCGCAAGCCUGAUCCAGCCAUGCCGCGUGAGUGAUGAAGGCCUUAGGGUUGUAAAGCUCUUUUAUCCGGGACGAUAAUGACGGUACCGGAGGAAUAAGCCCCGGCUAACUUCGUG
rnacentral:rRNA from 1 species